AGCUUCGUAGUAGCACGAGCAGAGGGCUUGAUCCUGAGAAGUGGGAAGGGCUUUCCAGCCGAGGAAUGACCGGGGAAGAGGUGGCAGGUCCCCCCGGACCGAAAGUUCUCCGUCUUCUUUGUUUCGUCGGCGCCGGAUUCAUCUGUGCGGUUACUAUUAACAAGACGCGGAAUAUGGAGCGAAGGACGCUGAUGCAACAGAAGAUGAAGGGAAUGUCAGAUGAUUCAUCAGAAGCCGUCGCCGCGAACAAAGCCGGCGAAUAAGGUUAGGUUUUGGCGAAUCAGAUCUACAUACUCAGGAAGUUCAUGAGAGAUUUUGUAUAGGCAUUCUGAGAUUCUGGGGAAAGAAUUUUGGUACUUCAAUUAUAAUUCUUUUUUAUGUUUCCCAACCAUAUAUUAAGCAUCAGGAGUCAAGCUAGAUGCAUUAGUUUGCCAUCUAAUGUGGGGAAAAGUUGAACCACCCGUCCCGAUUUCUUUGUUCCUGAGAAGUGAAUUCAAGAAUGAAGAAUUACAUUUUCGGUUCUCACAGCUCUAUUGUCCUAUGAAUGUAUUUUCUAGAUUCAAUUUUAGUUUUGAAAUAGAGAAGAAUAUCAUGAUAGUGAUGCCCGGUUAAAAUUCGGCAUUGUUGAAAACCCUGUAAACAUGUGGAAGAUAAAAGUAUUUCUGAAAAUGAUUCUGGAGUUAUCCAAACACUCUUUUAGUGGGUUCGGAUUAGAGUGAUAUAAAUUUGAUGUUGGUUCAACUUGAUUUGCAAACUUUAUUCGUAUAUGAAUCUGCGGGUCAUGAUUGAUGUUUGGAA